rnacentral:rRNA from 1 species
CGUCUAUAUACGUAUAGCAUAUCAAUAAGCGGAGGAAAAGAAACUAACAAGGAUUCCCUUAGUAACGGCGAGUGAAGCGGGAAGAGCUCAAAUUUGAAAUCUUCAAGGGUUCUACCUUGACGAAUUGUAGUUUAAUAGAAGUGUUUUCUGUUAGUAGAGGUGGCUAAAAGUUCUUUGGAAUAGGACAUCAUAGAGGGUGAGAAUCCCGUAUUUGAUCAUUCUCUACUAACGUUGUGAUACACUUUCAACGAGUCGGAUUGUUUGGGAAUGCAGUCCAAAAUGGGUGGUAAAUUUCAUCUAAAGCUAAAUAUUGGCGAGAGACCGAUAGCGAACAAGUACCGUGAGGGAAAGAUGAAAAGAACUUUGAAAAGAGAGUUAAACAGUACGUGAAAUUGUCAAAAGGGAAGCGUUUGACACCAGUGUUGUUUUUCCGAAAAUCAAUUACGAAUGUUUUAGUUUUUAAGAAGUUAUGACUUCAUCGGCUUGCUUCUCUCUUUAUGAAACUUUCUUAAUGCACUUUUCGGUUAACAAGUCAACAUCAAUUUCUUUUGUUGUAAAAGGGUAUGAGGAAGGUGGCUUUCUUUUCGGAGAAAGUGUUUAUAGCCUUGUACCUCUGCAAUCGGAGAGAUUGAGGUCUGCAGCGUAGAUCCUUCGGGGUUAGAUACAGUUUGUGCUAAGUUAUAGCUUUUCAUAGACAACUUGUUGACUAUGUCUAGUCUUGUAGCUUACUCGCUGAUGCUAUUUUACCUACGCUUAGGAUGUUGAUAUGCAUGACUGAUAU